rnacentral:rRNA from 1 species
CCUACGGGGGGCAGCAGUGGGGAAUUUUCCGCAAUGGGCGCAAGCCUGACGGAGCAAGACCGCGUGAGGGAAGAAGGUCUGUGGAUUGUAAACCUCUUUUGAUAGGGAAGAAGACAGUGACGGUACCUAUCGAAUCAGCCUCGGCUAACUCCGUGCCAGCAGCCGCGGUAAUACGGAGGAGGCAAGCGUUAUCCGGAAUUAUUGGGCGUAAAGAGUCCGUAGGUGGGUAACCAAGUCAGUUGUUAAAUAGUGAAGCUUAACUUCAUAGAGGCGACUGAAACUGGUUGUCUAGAGUGUGGUAGGGGUAGAGGGAAUUUCCAGUGUAGCGGUGAAAUGCGUAGAUAUUGGAAAGAACACCGGUGGCGAAAGCGCUCUACUGGGCCUGCACUGACACUGAGGGACGAAAGCUAGGGGAGCGAAAGGGAUUAGAUACCCCAGUAGUC